rnacentral:miRNA from 1 species
UCUUCCUCUUCCUCUUCCUCUUCCUCUUCCUCUUCACAGAUUCAAUUUCCUGUACUGCUAUCAAGUGCCUUGUCUUUGUCUUAUUUAGGUUAUAGGGGUCUUCCUGGCAUUGUAUAGGUCUUAUCUUU